rnacentral:rRNA from 1 species
CCUACGGGAGGCAGCAGUGAGGAAUAUUGGUCAAUGGCCGGAAGGCUGAACCAGCCAAGCCGCGUGAAGGACGAAGGUGCCAAGCAUUGUAAACUUCUUUUGUCAAGGGACAAAAUCAGGCUCGAGAGCCUGUCCGAGGGUACUUGAAGAAAAAGCAUCGGCUAACUCCGUGCCAGCCGCCGCGGUAAUACGGUGGAUGCGAGCGUUAUCCGGAUUUAUUGGGUUAAAGGGGUGGGUAGGCGGGCCGUUAAGUCAGCGGUAAAAGCCCGGGGCGCAACCCGGGCGAGCCGUUGAAACUGGCUGUCUUGAGAUGUCGAGAGGUAUGCGGAAUGCGCAGGGUAGCGGUGAAAUGCUUAGAUAUUGCGCAGAACUCCGAUUGCGAAGGCAGCAUACCGGCGGCGAUCUGACGCUGAGGCACGAAAGCGUGGGUAUCGAACAGGAUUAGAUACCCGUGUAGUC